CCCACAAAUAUAAUUCAAUAUUCUAUCAACAAACCUGAGAUGUUAAUUUAAUGAAAUCAACAUAAAUUUCAUAAAAGUAAAUAAAACUAUCUCAAGAGACAGAAUGUAUAGAAAUCCAAUAGAAAAUCUAUUUUGAAAUCUGGAUGGAAGCAUUUGUGUCAUGCGGCUUAUCAGCUGUGAUUUGAACACCAGCAAUAUAUCAAUGUACGGGACAUCCUUUCCUUAUCAUCUUAUUCUUUGGGCCCAGAAGAUUUCUGAAUAUCUGUAAUAUGAAUAACAGUAUUCUUUCAAAAAGUGAGAUUUUGAAAAUUUUGUGGCUUAUUUUUAAUAUUGUGCUAAUUACCAUUUAAUUUUUCUAUAGAAGUGAAUUUUAGGGCUAUAUUUUUCAUUUAACACAGAACUUAUUGUGAAGAUGAAGUCCAAGUCAAAGAAACUGACGAUUUCAUGAUGCUGUUAGUUCGUUCUGCGUUAAACAAUAGUUACAGCAGUAUUUUCUACGAAUAGCACCUUAGUUGUCAGUGAUCACGGAAACUGCUCAAAUUUCUCAGUUUUUCAACUCUGUAUUUUAUUUUUGUUCGGUGGCUGUUAUAGAGAGAGCUUUAAUGUUAUCCAGUGAUGGAUUUAGGCUUGAUGCCACUAUAGGCUCUGUUUAUCGCGCCACCUUUAAUGUUAGAAUAAAUUUUAAUAAUUUGGAACCAAAAUAUUUUUUUUAAAUUUAUAAUAGCUUUAUUAUUUUUUUAUAUAAAAAAUAAUCUGAACUCAAUUUCAAAGGAGACGACUGUCUUUACUUUUACGGUCUCUUAAAUUGUGAUGUUUGAAAAAUUUUGCUGCCCCUCAUAGCAUGCCGGCGUAAAUCCAUCACUGAUGUUAUCAAUAUGUUAUUUGCAUAUCAUUAGCUAAUUUGGAUUUGGAUCCAUUACGAAAUGCAAUUCUGCUGAACCGUGUGGAAGAAGAAAGUGCUAAACUCGGUCUUAAAAUCAACCAUUCUAAGACCAAAAUAAUGAUAAUAGAUAGAGCGCAACUUCUUCCACUUUCUGAUGCACUCAGUGGUUACGAGAAAGUAGCGGAAUUCAUAUAUCUUGGGUCGCAAAUAACAUCCGAGGAUGGCUCCACGGGGGAGAUAUGCUGAAGAUCCGGUAUGGCUAAAAGUGCGAUGGCCAAUUUCGAGAAGAUCGGGAAAAAUCGUAGUAUCCGAUAUAAAACCAAAUUGCAUUUGAUGCGGGCACUGAUCUUUCCCAUAUUCCACUACGGGGCGAAGACAUGGUGCAUAAAAAGCCGGGAUAUCAAAAAGAUCGAUGCCUUUGAAAUGUGGGUGUGGCGGAGGAUGCUACGAAUACCGUGGACUGCCAUGAGAACAAACGAGUCCAUUCGAAGACAGCUAGACAUCCGAAAAAGGCUCUCUUCCAUCUGCCGGGAACGUGUUAUGAGCUUCUUCGGACACAUCUUGCGGUGUCCCAGACAUUAAUUAGAGAAGUUCAUAAUUAGGGGUCGCAUAGAGGGCAAGCGCGCCAUGGGCAGAACACCAGCCAGAUGGUCAGAUCUAGCAAAAGAAGCACUUGGUGGUAGUCUGUACCAUGCAGUCCAUGGCACCCAUGAUCGAGCACAUUGGAAGUACGUCGCAUGUGGUCGCGAUCCUGAGUAGUGAGGGAACGAUAUGAGCAUUUCUCAAAAUAAAUGCACCACCAAUAAAAUAAUGUACUAAAAUAAAAAUGUUAAACUAAAGCA